AAUAUCUGCCCAUCGCUCUGAUUAGGCACUUCAUUACCUACUGCCUUACACUCUUCUCUAUUUUUUAAAAAUUGUGUCUUCUCUGACACCUAAGUUGCUUGAGAAAGAGAACAAUAUUUCUGAAUGCCCCCACUAUUUGCGGUCUAGUGUUAAAAAGAAGAGAUAUGGGCAUUGAUCAUCAUUCAUACAGAUUGUGUUAGAAAGGUGUUGGCUCUGGCAGGAUUCUGUGGGAGUGCAGACCAGCUGAUACUACCACUGACAAAACCAAAAAUUUUCUCAGUCCAAGCAAGGAUCCAAAGAUUGGAUCUCCAGGACUAACUUACAGGCACCUAAGGGCCUUUGAACCAAACUCUUCUAACAGGAACACAGGCUCCUUUAGCAAGGGGUAAAGGAAAUAUGAAUACCCAAUAAUGAAAGAUGGGUGCAGCCACUUUGGAAUAUAGUCCAGCAACUUUCCAGAAGGGUAAACACAGAAUUGUAUAAAUAUGAUUCAGCAACUGUGCUCCUAGGCACAUACCCAAGAGCAGUGAAAACAUACAACCAUGGCAAAAACUUGCACAACCGUGUUCACAGCAUUAUUCAUAAGAGCCAAAAAGUAGAAACAAGCCAAAUGCCCAUCAAAUGAUGAAUGAAUAAUCUAGACACCAGAUCUAUACACCAGAAUAUUAUUUGGCAAUGAAGAAGAGGCAAGUACUGAUAUGCUCUACAAUACAGACAAAACCAGAAGACAUGAUGCUUAGUGAAAUAAGCCAGAGAGAAAAGACCACAUAUUGCAUGGUUCCAUUUACAUGGAACAUCCAAGGACAGGAAAAUCAAUAGAUACAAAAAGAAACUUAGGGUUGCAAAGGAGUAGGAGGAGUUGGAGGGAAGUGGGGAGCAAUCCCUAAUAGGUAUAAGGUUCCUUUCUGGGGUGAUGAAAAUAUUCUAAAAUUGAUUGUGGUGAUCACUGCACAACUGCAUACACUAAAAAAUUUCCAAUUGUGUAUUUUAA